rnacentral:rRNA from 1 species
UACAGGGGGGCAAGCGUUGUUCGGAAUUACUGGGCGUAAAGGGCUCGUAGGUGGCCAACUAAGUCAGACGUGAAAUCCCUCAGCUUAACUGGGGAACUGCGUCUGAUACUGGAUGGCUUGAGUUUGGGAGAGGGAUGCGGAAUUCCAGGUGUAGCGGUGAAAUGCGUAGAUAUCUGGAGGAACACCGGUGGCGAAGGCGGCAUCCUGGACCAACACUGACACUGAGGAGCGAAAGCCAGGGGAGCAAACGGA